CAACCGUCAUCUGUUUUCUGCUCGCCGUUAUUCGUGUUCAGGUGUGUCACACAGCUGCUUGGCCAGGAGGGGAGGAGCCAAGCAGAACACCUGCCAGUUACUCCAACGACUCUCUUUCUAGAACAGAGAACUUGUCACCAGUUCACACUGAGCCGUCUUUCUGGAACAGGGCCCGAGAGUCGCUCCGACAGCUGUCUCUGAAUGUCUCCAAUCUGUGCUCAGUUUCCUCCACCUGUUCUGUUUGUCUUAUGCAAACAUGUUGCAUGUUAUAUUUAUAUUACAGCUUGUGUCUUUCAGCACUGUCUACAUAGUUUGUUUUCAUGUAUUUCUACUUACAAAUCCACAGUGCAAAUGUUGAUUCCAGCUGUGAUAAAAAAGGUAGAUUCAUCCAUCAGUGUUAUAAUUAUAAGAUAUCUGAGCACACAGCACUACACUGCUCUGACAGACGAAGAGACGAUGCAGCUGUGCCAAACAUCUCCUUUAACUGACAUUGCUUUAAAAUGGGGCUUAUAGAUAAGGAUAUUUCAUUUUGUUAAAGUCCUGCCGCCUCAACUCUUUUCUCCUUGGUCUCUUCCUCACCUCCUUCCUCAUCUGUGGUGGGAAAGACUGAGACUGAAGAGCAUGUGCAUACUGAGAAAUAAGAAAAUGAAGGCUCCUGUUGCUGGAAAUGUUCCUGCA